GGCGAACGCUGGCGGCGUGCUUAACACAUGCAAGUCGAACGGAAAGGUCCUGCUUUUGUGCGGUUCUCGUGUGGCGAACGGGUGAGUAACACGUGUGUAACCUCUCCUUGUCUUUGUGAUAACUUCAGGAAACUCGGGCUAUUACCGGAUAGGAUCUCCUGCUGCAUGGUGGGGGUUGGUAAGUUUCGGCGGUUGGGGAUGUACUCGCGGCUUAUCAGCUUCUUGGUGGGGUAGUGGCUUACCAAGAGUUUGACGGGUAGCAGGCCUGGGAGGGUGACCGGCCACAUUGGGACUGAGAUACGGCCCAGACUCCUACGGGAGGCAGCAGUGGGGAAUAUUGCACAAUGGGCGGAAGCCUGAUGCAGCAACGCCGCGUGCGGGAUGACGGCCUUCGGGUUGUAAACCGCUUUCGACUGUGACGAAGCGUGAGUGACGGUAAUGGGUAAAGAAGCACCGGCUAACUACGUG
rnacentral:rRNA from 1 species